rnacentral:rRNA from 1 species
UACGUAGGGUGCGAGCGUUGUCCGGAAUUAUUGGGCGUAAAGAGCUUGUAGGCGGUCUGUCGCGUCUGCUGUGAAAAUCCGGGGCUCAACCCCGGACUUGCAGUGGGUACGGGCAGACUAGAGGUGUGGUAAGGGGAGACUGGAAGUUCCUGGUGAUAGCGGUGAAAUGCGCAGAUAUCAGGAGGAACACCGAGUGGCGAAGGCAGGUCUCUGGGC